CGGAAAAAAAAAUGUCACACAACAACUUCAAGUGGUACAUGAAGAUAAACAAAUAUUUACACAUUCAAAGUGUGCAAUUAGCAUGUCUCUUAAUAAUACGCAAAAAAACCCUUUUUAAUGAAG